AUUGAACGCUGGUGGCAGGCUUUACACAUGCAAGUCGGACGAGUGGCGGACGGGUGAGUAAUAUAUGGGAAAGUACCGAGUAGAGGGGGAUAACUAAUGGAAAGGGUAGCUAAUACCGCAUAAUAUUGGAGGGGCCGAGAUGGGAUUAGCUAGUUGGUGGGGUAAAGGCCUACCAAGGCGACGAUCCGUAGCGGGUCUGAGAGGAUGACCCGCCACACUGGGACUGAGACACGGCCCAGACUCCUACGGGAGGCAGCAGUGGGGAAUUUUGGACAAUGGGCGCAAGCCUGAUCCAGCCAUGCCGCGUGUCUGAAGAAGGCCUUCGGGUUGUAAAGUACUUUUGUCAGGGAAGCGUUACCUGCAGAAUAAGCACCGGCUAACUCCGUGCCAGCAGCCGCGGUAAUUC
rnacentral:rRNA from 1 species